rnacentral:tRNA from 1 species
GGGCGAUUGGUUUAGGGGUAUAAUGUCCGCUUCGCAGUUCCAGUAACAUGAUUGCGGAAGGUCCUGGGUUCGAUUCCCAGAUCGUCCA